UACGUAGGGUGCAAGCGUUAAUCGGAAUUACUGGGCGUAAAGCGUGCGCAGGCGGUUAAUAUAAGACAGUUGUGAAAUCCCCGGGCUCAACCUGGGAACUGCAUCUGUGACUGUAUAGCUAGAGUACGGUAGAGGGGGAUGGAAUUCCGCGUGUAGCAGUGAAAUGCGUAGAUAUGCGGAGGAACACCGAUGGCGAAGGCAAUCCCCUGGACCUGUACUGACGCUCAUGACACCGAAAGGCGUGGGGAAGCAAACGA
rnacentral:rRNA from 1 species